rnacentral:rRNA from 1 species
AAUUACGAAAGCAAAAAAUUAUGGCGGUAUUUUAAGCUUUUCAGAGGAAUUUGCUCUUUAAUGGAUAAAACACCUAAAUCUUACUUAAAUUUGUAAAUUCAAUUUGUAUACCACUAUAAAAACAAUUAAUAACUUCAAUUGUUAAAAUUUAUUAAAUUAACUUAUAUUAAGUCAAGGUGCAGUAAAAAUUUAAGAAUGAAGUGAAUUACAUUUCUUUUUAGAGAGAGAAAUUUAAAUAACAUUUAGGAUUUGAAAGUAAAAUUGAAAUAGAAUGUCAAUUUGAAUUAAGCUCUAAAAUAUGUACAUAUCGCCCGU